rnacentral:rRNA from 1 species
CAGUAGCCGCGGUAAUACGUAGGUCCCGAGCGUUGUCCGGAUUUAUUGGGCGUAAAGGGAGCGCAGGCGGUUUAGUAAGUCUGAAGUUAAAGGCAUUGGCUCAACCAAUGUAUGCUUUGGAAACUGUUAGACUUGAGUGCAGAAGGGGAGAGUGGAAUUCCAUGUGUAGCGGUGAAAUGCGUAGAUAUAUGGAGGAACACCGGUGGCGAAAGCGGCUCUCUGGCUUGUAACUGACGCUGAGGCUCGAAAGCGUGGGGAGCAAACAGGAUUAGAUACCCCUGUAGUCCCUGUCUCUUAUACA